UACGAAGGUCCCAAGCGUUAUCCGGAUUUAUUGGGGUUAAAGGGUGCGUAGGCGGGCUAUUAAGUCAGUGGUGAAAGCCCCAAGCUUAACUUGGGAACUGCCAUUGAUACUGAUGGUCUUGAGUACAUUUGAGGUGGGCGGAAUGUGUCAUGUAGCGGUGAAAUGCUUAGAUAUGACACAGAACACCGAUUGCGAAGGCAGCUCACUAAACUGUAACUGACGCUGAGGCACGAAAGCGUGGGGAGCAAACAGG
rnacentral:rRNA from 1 species